GUCGUUAUCGUAUAGUGGUAAAUAUUCCCGUCUGUAACGCGGGUUAUGCGGGUUACCCGGGUUCGAUUCCCGACAGCGGUG
rnacentral:tRNA from 1 species